AGACCCGAAACCCGGUGAUCUAGCCAUGGGCAGGUUGAAGGUUGGGUAACACUAACUGGAGGACCGAACCGACUAAUGUUGAAAAAUUAGCGGAUGACCUGUGGCUGGGGGUGAAAGGCCAAUCAAACCGGGAGAUAGCUGGUUCUCCCCGAAAGCUAUUUAGGUAGCGCCUCGUGAAUUCAUCUCCGGGGGUAGAGCACUGUUUCGGCUAGGGGGCCAUCCCGGCUUACCAACCCGAUGCAAACUGCGAAUACCGGAGAAUGUUAUCACGGGAGACACACGGCGGGUGCUAACGUCCGUCGUGAAGAGGGAAACAACCCAGACCGCCAGCUAAGGUCCCAAAGUCAUGGUUAAGUGGGAAACGAUGUGGGAAGGCCCAGACAGCCAGGAUGUUGGCUUAGAAGCAGCCAUCAUUUAAAGAAAGCGUAAUAGCUCACUGGUCGAGUCGGCCUGCGCGGAAGAUGUAACGGGGCUAAACCAUGCACCGAAGCUGCGGCAGCGAACGUAUCACCCAAGACAACUUUACGGAGUUGACGAUUGACGGAGCGAAGCGACGUCAAAGCGUUCAUUAAAGUCGAGUUGGCUUAGGGAUACGUUCGUUGGGUAGGGGAGCGUUCUGUAAGCCUGUGAAGGUGUGUCGUGAGGCAUGCUGGAGGUAUCAGAAGUGCGAAUGCUGACAUAA
rnacentral:rRNA from 2 species